rnacentral:rRNA from 1 species
UACGUAGGGGGCAAGCGUUGUCCGGAAUUAUUGGGCGUAAAGCGCGCGCAGGCGGUUCAUUAAGUUGGGUGUUUAAGCCCGGGGCUCAACCCCGGUUCGCAUCCAAAACUGGUUGACUUGAGUGUAGGAGAGGAAAGUGGAAUUCCACGUGUAGCGGUGAAAUGCGUAGAGAUGUGGAGGAAGGCCGGUGGCGAAGGCGGCGCUCUGGAACGUUACUGACGCUGAGACACGAAAGCGUGGGGAGCAAACAGG